rnacentral:rRNA from 1 species
GGCCAAGUUUUUAAGGGCGCACGGUGGAUGCCUUGGCACCAGGAACCGAUGAAGGACGUGGGAGGCCACGAUAGUCCCCGGGGAGCCGUCAACCAGGCUUUGAUCCGGGGGUUUCCGAAUGGGGAAACCCGGCAGUCGUCAUGGGCUGUCACCCAUACCUGAACACAUAGGGUAUGUGGAGGGAACGAGGGGAAGUGAAACAUCUCAGUACCCUCAGGAAGAGAAAACAACCGUGAUUCCGGGAGUAGUGGCGAGCGAAACCGGAUGAGGCCAAACCGUAUGCGUGUGAUACCCGGCAGGGGUUGCGCAUGCGGGGUUGUGGGAUCUCUCUUCUGUCGUCUGCCGGCGACAGGCGAGUCAGAAACCGUUGGUGUAGGCGAAGGACAUGCGAAAGGUCCGGCGUAGAGGGUAAGACCCCCGUAGCUGAAACAUCAACGGCUCGUUUGAGAGACACCCAAGUAGCACGGGGCCCGAGAAAUCCCGUGUGAAUCUGGCGGGACCACCCGCUAAGCCUAAAUAUUCCCUGGUGACCGAUAGCGGAUAGUACCGUGAGGGAAUGGUG